UGCCAGACUCCUACGGGAGGCAGCAGUGGGGAAUAUUGCACAAUGGGGGAAACCCUGAUGCAGCGACGCCGCGUGAGCGAUGAAGUAUUUCGGUAUGUAAAGCUCUAUCAGCAGGGAAGAAAAUGACGGUACCUGACUAAGAAGCCCCGGCUAACUACGUGCCAGCAGCCGCGGUAAUACGUAGGGGGCAAGCGUUAUCCGGAUUUACUGGGUGUAAAGGGAGCGUAGACGGUCCUGCAAGCCAGAUGUGAAAGCCCGGGGCUCAACCGCGGAACUGCUUUGGAAACUUUUUUGCUGGAGUACCGGAGAGGUAAGCGGAAUUCCUAGUGUAGCGGUGAAAUGCGUAGAUAUUAGGAGGAACACCAGUGGCGAAGGCGGCCUGCUGGACUGCAACUGACGUUGAGGCUCGAAGGCGUGGGGAGCAAACAGGAUUAGAUACCCUUGUAA
rnacentral:rRNA from 1 species